AACAUAUCACCUAGAGCACUGGAGUUGCUAAACGGAGAGUUUUCACUACUAAUCUGGUGCCAGAGGAAGAUGAUAAAAUAAAUUGACUUUACAUGUAUGACUGCUGGAUGGGGAACAACUGAACUUCACAGUGAGUAUAUGUACCACCUCCUCCAAUGUUAGAAUCCAAACAAAUAUAUGUGACAUCUAAGUGUACUCUGUUUGUUCACUUUCAGUUUUUCUCUAUUUUUAAUACGAAUAAUGGUGGGAAAAGUCUUUUAAAAUAAUGGAUCUA
rnacentral:lncRNA from 1 species